UGUGCUGUGAAGUGAGUGCGCGAAAAUAGAUUGACUUUUGUGUGUUGUUAAUUUUUAUGAGGGGGAAUGGUGUUGUGUAGUGUAUAGGGGGCGCUGUCAAUGCUAUCAUCUGUAUAUAAGCGAUUGUCAUCAAAAUAAAGGGCAGUGGUUACCCGUCCAUGGAUCGGUUUGACUUAUCACUCGGCGCGUCGCUAUACGGUGAUAUCACAUUCUGGCGCAGUUGGCGAAGCUAGCGAGCUAGCGACGAACUGUUUUCCUGCCGUUCCAAGGGGCGUCGCCUACGAGAUGGCAACGUACGGACUACCGCCAUUAUCGCCUUUCCUGGAGACUCCUGGAGAUGCGAAAAUCCCAUGGGAGCAGUGGCGCGAUGAUUUCAUAAAUUUUCUUGAAGCGACGGGGAUGGACGCGCAACCGCCACUACGGAAAAAGGCCAUUCUACUGCAAUGUCUCGGGGUUGAGGGACGCCGUAUUUUUCGCACAUUGGGCCCAGAGCCGGCGCGGACGCCAGACACGACAGAAGGUAAG